rnacentral:lncRNA from 1 species
CUCAGAUUAAGAGAGCUGAGCAUCUCAGGGCCCAUUAUCUCUUGAAUCCGAAGGACUAAAUUGGGAGAUCAAAGGUGGAUUUGCCCCAUUUGUACAAACCAUUCACUCUUGCAAGAACUUUAGAAGAAACCUAACAAGUCCCAGAGGCAAAACACAGGGAUGCUGCUCAAAAAAAUGCAAACCACCACACAGCUACAUUGUGCCGUGCAGCUGGACAUGUGAUGUGUUCUGCUGGCUCUCAGAUGACUUCAAGUCCUUCUUCGGCAUUUAAUUGUAACCAUAUGGAUUCAGGUUCAAAAUGAGGGUUCAGUGCACUGUCACCCAAAGGCACAUUCCAAGUCACACAUCAUGGUCUUAGCCCACACUGAUCUGCUUUUCAUCCCAGAGUAUGUUAUGAGAAGCUGCUGAGCAGACUCAGGUUUCUAUAAGUUUGAGCUGUGCUAUGCUGGUGAUGGGAUCAGCCCUUGGGCUUUAAGGACAUCAAAGAGGACCUGAGUGACAAUGUUCUGCAGCCCUGUGCAUCCAAGUGAAGAAUCAGAGCUGUUGUUCUGAAAGAAGAAUCAGAGGGUCUUUCUUUGGCAUGGAACACAGAAUGGA